GUGAGGGAUAUUGCACAAUGGGGGAAACCCUGAUGCAGCGACGCCGCGUGGGUGAUGAAGGUCUUCGGAUCGUAAAGCCCUUUUCUAGGUGACGAGCAAGGACGGUAGCCUAGGAAGAAGUCUCGGCUAACUACGUGCCAGCAGCCGCGGUAAAACGUAGGAGGCAAGCGUUAUCCGGAGUUACUGGGCGUAAAGCGCGUGCAGGUGGUGGUCCAAGUUCGGUGUGAAAGCCGUCGGCUCAACCGGGGGAUGGCACGGAAGACUGGGGCACUGGAGGCAGCUAGAGGAGCGUAGAAUUCCGGGUGUAGCGGUGAAAUGUGUAGAGAUCCGGAGGAAUACCAGUGGCGCAAGCGGCGCUCUGGGGCUGACCUGACACUGAGACGCGAAGGCGUGGGGAGCGAACGGGAUUAGAUACCCUUGUAGUCC
rnacentral:rRNA from 1 species